UACGUAGGGUGCAAGCGUUGUCCGGAAUUAUUGGGCGUAAAGAGCUCGUAGGCGGCUUGUCGCGUCGUCUGUGAAAUCCCGCGGCUCAACUGCGGGCUGCAGUCGAUACGGGCAGGCUGGAGUUCGGUAGGGGAGACUGGAAUUCCUGGUGUAGCGGUGAAAUGCGCAGAUAUCAGGAGGAACACCGGUGGCGAAGGCGGGUCUCUGGGCCGAUACUGACGCUGAGGAGCGAAAGCGUGGGGAGCGAACAGG
rnacentral:rRNA from 1 species